GAGAUCCAUUCGAGGGGGAGGGAGAACGCGAACGAGUUAGAGCAGUGUGGAGCGAAGCACGGAGGGGUUUGGGGGGAAAGCGCACGCUCUAGGCGCUAUGACGUAACUCGAGUCAUCCUGGAUGUACGUGCUACGGGUGGAGGGGAGACGGCGGGGAAACAACGGUGGCGCUGAGAAGAAGUGGGGAGCGCACCAUGGAGGGGUGAGAGUGCAAGGGCGCGGUAGUGGGAGCAGUAAACGGAAGGAGGGGAGGAUGGCGGUCAUUAGUGCUACUGGGACACGGAAGCGAAUCCUCGCUACCCUCCCCGCCUCUCCGUGCGGCCCGUUUCGCGACCCGGCACCAGUAACCACCCACUCUUUUCUAUUUUCCUCUCGGUCGCUCUGUCGGUUCUCUCACGCUCCCUGUAUGUAUUUUCCACGCUCGUUCUUCUCUUUCUUCCCUCUCGUGUCUCUCUCCGCUUCGUCUUCCUCCGCGCUCCGUUCCGCUCUUCCUCGCCUCUCCCUCUUUGCCGUGCGACGCCUCGCGCGUCCGUGUAUUAUCUAUAUAACGCGAGCGGCCCGGGGGUGCGCCUGCACUCUGCAGCUGCAUACAACCCCCUUUUGCAGAUCUCUGUGCCAACUACGAGAGAGUACAUCUACGAGCACGAACACGAUUAGGCCGCGCUCGCGACCUCGUCCUUGCCUGCCAGCCAAGAUCGGGGCCGUUACGUUGCCUCGUGUCCGUCUGCUCGUUUCUCCUAGUUCGCUUGCUCGCUCGCUCGCUCGUUCGCCGCGCGCGGUUUCUUUGAAACGGUACGCUUCCGCGGCAUGGAAUGCGUUGACCCUUUCGUGGUCCACGGCUUUGUGGCCGGGCUCGCUUCGUCGACGAUUCCGGCGGGUCACGCUCCACGACCAACCGCUUAACGGACGUGCGGCCUGUUGUAAGCCGAUGAUGCAUAAUGUAUCGUGAGUCAAUGAAUUAGGCAAAUUAUUUCGUAUAUGAGAUUUUUGGAAAUUCUGUUUUGUGGGUCGAAAUCGUUUUUAUAUUUUAAUAGAUUCAAUCAAUUAGAAGAAGUCAUUUAACGCUUUCAUACAUAGUUUCGAAUUUUCUUUCAAUUAAAUAAGUCGACGGGAUCCAAGAAUCCCAUUAAUGGAUGUUGUAGUGAUUUUUAGAUUACAUCGACUUACUUAAUUGUAUCAUGGAUCAUUUAGAAGCCAUAAUACCAAAGCUCCAUCUAUUAAAUCGAAAUAGAAAAAUUAGCGGCGGCCGAUUGAUACUGUGGCCGAUAAUCGUUCGGUAGCGAGAUUUCCAUAAGCAGAUGCAAAGCAGUCGCGGAUACUUCCGUGGGAGGCAAAGAUCGAUAGGAAGCCGGUCGUCGUGGGAUUUAAAGGCCCGUAAUUGAUUUCCUGCCGGUGGUCGCUGGAAUUCCAGGCUGCACGCGCCCUUUACCCUUUCAACGGUGCUCAGGGUUCAGCCUACGCGUGCCUGGGCGUGGCGAGGAAUCCUUGCGGCUGAAAUCCCGCGGAAGAUGCCUGUCGAAGGUCAAACGACGUCCGUCCGCUCGUCUAUUCUCACUGUGAAAGAUAAUCGCAUUUCAAAGUGCGCCAAUGGCAGCCGAAUGAACACCCAGCAAUAUUGAUCAGCUGAACUGGUGUACUGAACUUUGACAUUUGAUAGAGCCCGGCGAAAGCGGUUGCAUGUACUCCGCUAGAGCGUUGGCAGUUUCGUUUUGUACGGAGAUUUAGAUCGUAGUGAUGGAGACGCAAGGGUUGUUCUUUAACCAUGCGAAGGUCGAGGCUGAUCCCACUGAUACAUACGAAAUAUUGUAAUAAAUAUUUUUGAAUGACCUCGUAAAGCUUGCUGAUGAAGAGCAGCUGGUGUAUGAUACAUCUUUAUGUGCUUAUUUCUCAAGGCUAGGCAUAAUACAAGUACUAUACUUCUGAGUUAUGAAUAUAGCGGAUCUUCUGUUAAUUUUGUUAUUAAAUCGAAGUUCGUAUUAAAAGUAUCAACAAUAAUUUUCUUUGUUUCGGUAGAGUUUUGUGACAAAAUUUUCUAAGGCAACCGCAGUCUGAGUUAACUCCUUUGUUUACGUUCUUCGUGUCUAUGGUAGAUUUACUGAUUCCAAAGUCUCGGAUUGUAGCGUAUAGUUCCACCGUUUAGAAGCCAUACUAAUUAAGAUUAUACAUACAAUGAAUAGUAGAGGAACGUGAUGACAUUACCUUACAAGUACUUUUUAAUACUUUAUAUGCAUGUUUCUAAUGUAUUUUCCAAAUGUGUCAAUAUGUACUCUACUUUUGAUAUUUUACAGAUUUUUGCAUUCGUGUACAUCCUUGUACAAUUUUAUAUAUUUACACUUGUCAUAUAUAAACAUCCACAAUAUAACCGUAUCCCACCAAACUGUCGCCAGCUUAAACUGCAAACUCUAAGCUCUGCCAAUAACUUCGAACAUGGUUCGAUGGUAAACAGUGUUCUCAGUGAGAUACUGUACCACGGAAGACGGCCAAGUUCCGGAAUCAUAAAACGUAAUUGGUAAUAAAGGCGGAAGCAGUUAACAACGAUGGAUUCUCGGUUGAUCGAAGACAGAGAUUUUGGCUGUUUUUGGUGAUAAAGUUUCCGGAUGGAAUAACCGUUAAGCCGAGUCGAACUAGGGAGAAACGUGGAUGGUUUUGGGUCAAGGCUGCGAUACUGUCACCCUCGAACGCCUUUGUCCACCCUUCUCAAGGUGAGAAUUUACGAAUUUACAAAAACAUUCAACUCUUCUGGUAAAGUAUACAAUUUGAGAUUUUCUAAGCUGUAAGUCAAACAUUCGUACUUAGGAAGAAAUAAUUCUUAAUACAAUAUUUCUAGGGCAUCGUAUUACCUUUCAUUUAUAUAUUCAUAGUAAUUAGAAUUUCCUUCAUAGGAAAAUGUUAUUGUUCUACCUAACACAGACUAAGAUACGCUUUAUAUUCUUCCUUAUUAUGUAACAUUUGAAAUGGAACAAAGCUUAAAUCGAUUGCCAAAAUCAUUUUAAACUGAUUCUCAUUGGGAAGCAUUGAUGCAUUGAAUUUCCAAAAUUUAUCGAGAUUUUCGAAGAGGAGUUCUGAAAAUAUCGCACGGUUUACGAUAGUUCGCGUAGUAUUUGUUACAAGCAACGCAUGUCGCAGCGGCGUACGACACUUGCGUGACAUCGGUGUGCAUGUUCACGAAUACGCGAAGAGAGCGUCGCCGAUGGAACGUGCAAUUUAAUUGAAACACGCUCUGUUCAUAUGCAUACGAUUAACGUUGGUCGGCGUGCGUGCCUCUCGCGAGCUAUUCGCGUGAAUAACGGAACGACUAGAAACGGUGCGGUUAACGUGCGUGAAAAUUCACGGUGUUCCUUGUACGCUGUUGAUUGUUGAUUGUAUGCUAAACAGCCCGUUGCUUGUGAUUUGCUAGACUGUUGGUUACCGCGAUGGAAAAAGCUUGUCGGUUUAGAAUAUCAUAUGUGUUACGUUUUAACGCGAGUGUGAAGUAAUUUAAGCGGGAAUUUCUUGAACCAUUCUUUUGUUGAACUUUUGUCUCGUGUGAUAAAUAGCAGUUGCAUUCACGAUCAAGUUCAAUUUUUAGCAUAAUUUCAGAGUGAAAUUGAAGUAUGGAUUGUUUGGUAGAAUAUAGCGUAGUAUGUAUACAUAGAACUAACAUUCCACUGAAUAAUGUAUGAUACUGUUUAUUUUGCUGACCUUUCAAUAUCAGGUAUCUUCACCUUUAACUUUUAACUUUUCACAUCUAAACUAUGCAUUUUUUAAAGUAGUUUUAAGGUAUUCAAUUGCCCGUUAUUAGAAUAUAAAUUAUAAUGGAUCUAUGUUAUUAUUCGACGAAUGAAUGCAUGAAAGUUUAAUAAUUUUCACCUAUUUCUCAUUGAUACAUGAAAUACUGGUUUGUAUAAUAACGUAAUACUGUUUCUAUCUACUACUUCCGGACACUACUAUCCAAUCCUAUCUUGUUGCAUCUACUAUGCAACUAGGAGCAGUAUUUAUCUAAAUUCCAUAUUUAAUUAUUUGGCAGAUAUGCAGAAUAAUUCUCCCUCAAAUAUACAGCAGAAUUUAAUGAUCCUUAAUAAUGAAACGCGACGCUAUAAACUAUCCGAAUAAAUUGACAGUAAUAAAAUGAAAGAUUAUUAAAUGUGAGUAAUACGUUUCAUAUUUUAAAUUGUCUUAUUUGUUAUUUUAAUCUAGACAAUUAUAGUAUUUAGUCACUGAAAAGCUGAUUCAAAGAAAUGUAUAUAUUAGAAGAGACGCAAGAUAAGUGGUUAAAGACGAUCAUAUGCAGCCACUUUUGUACACUAUGUGAUACGUGAUGACCUUCAAUUAUUCUGCAAUUAAUGGACUGAUCGAAAUUCCUUUUACAUUUGGAGGAGCUUUUUUUUAUCAAUAUUCUCUCUUUUUUUCUUGCAUCUUCUCCAAUUCUUUCAUCUUGCAAUAAAUCCAUUAUAUACACGACUGCUUUAUUGAAACAAAAUUAAAAUGAAGUAUGCAAAUAUAUAUGUUCUAUGUGAUUAAAAUUAUUAUAAAGAACGCUACUAUAAAGAACGCUAUACGCUUAGAAAAUUGAAAUUAAAAUUAUUACAAAAGAGAAUACCAUUAGACUAUGAUGCUUCGUUUAUUAAUUUACUAAAUAUUUAAAUCCCCAAAUGGAGGCUAAUAAUGAAAAAUGAGUCAAAUUCUGAUGAACUAACAUGUAGCUCAACAUUUUUUUCAAACAGGAAAAUUACUUCAAAGGAGAAACAAAUAAUUUGCACUAUCGAUGUUUCGCGAACUAGUAAGAUGUCCGUUGAAUAUUAAUUGCCUGCGAAUAAACUUCUUAUCACGGUCGUCGUGUAUUCAAUACCUGACCGCGUGUAAAUCGUUCGCUCAGACGGGUCCAGGUUAAUCUCGAAAUUUCCUCUCAGCGAACUUGAUCGAUCAACGGUACGGAACACGUGUACUGGGAAUUUCGGCCAUGCAAUUAUUCUGGGGAAAAGUGCGACCUUGCGAACAGCACCGUUCGCGAUAAUGCAUAGUCGCUUUUCGGUUGACCCAUAUCCAGUUUCCAUAGGUUUCGUUGAAAAGGGAGUUUCUAUUACGUUAAAUUUACUCAGCGGAUCACGAGGAAAAAGAAAAAAUCGGCCUUGUACUGUUGGCGAAGGAGCGUGGCAUUUUCAACGAAGUGUCGUAGUAUCAGGUUACUGGUAAUUUAGAGAAGUUUCAAACUGGAAACUUUGCAGUGUAUUGAGCAAUAAAUUUUAAUAAAUUUGAAGGAAAUUUAGUUUAGUAAAACUUAUUGUUAGUGAGCUUUCUUUACUGUCUUUUUUGUCUUUCUUUCUUUACUGUUAAUUCUGUUGCGUUUCUCGAAUUGUUGUGUUUCAAUCUUAAUCUCGUGUUAACAAAUGAAAUGACAUUUUUAUAUCGAUAAGAAUUUCAUUUUCAAACUUAAGUGCAUUUAAUAUAUCUGUUGUACUUGUGCAUUUAGUAUGUUAAUAACAAUUUUAUUUCUAAACUUAAGAAAUUUUUUACUAAUAGGAAAAUACAGUUGAGCCGAGAAAAUGAAGAACGCAACAAGGUUAAAUUAACAUAAUGAUAAAAAAUUCUUCUAUUGAAAAUAGAAAUAAAUAUUAAGAAAGUGAAUCUUUAUAUAUUUGGGUAUAAGAUUGUUUGUAUUGUUCAUAAAUAAGAAUGUUUACAUUUAUAGUAAUGUGUUUCGUUGACAUAAAGAAUAGAUGAGGGUUAAGUAAGGUUCAUGAUAUUGAAACAAAAUAUUAACUGUAGUUGGAGAUACGAGCUUUACAUAAGAGAGACAUACAAUGGCUUUUGUUCCAUUAAGAUAGCAUAUAGUCGCAUAAAUUCUGAGAAUUAGAGUGAGAAAUUGGGUUUCAUUCUCGUUACGUACCAAUGCUACCUCGAAUGAUCGUAAUCCCUUUUGAAAGCUUGUGUGCAUGUACAUCGAAGUAUCAAAGUUAGUUAUAUAGGUUCGUAGAACUAGGAAGGUGUAAUGAGAAACUGUAGAUUAUAAUAAAACCAUCUUCUGUUGAAUUAAUAUUUGUUUUUAUUAUAUUGACAUGUAGUUAAUUGCUCCAGCAUUAUCUGAAUUUGUUGCAAUUAAACAUCCCCGUAGCAAGCAAGGAAAUUUGAAAAUUCUUGUGGUUGCGGUAAGUCAAAGAGACAUCGACGCAUUGUCUGUCCUUUCUUGAAAUAUCUUUACACAUUAAAAUAACACAUUAAUACUAAGCAGUAUAUUUUUUAAUAUCUCUUAACUUAAAAGAAGUAAUAUAUUCUUUCAAGGUUCUCAAUAAUAUAUUUCAAAAAAAUUAGACACAAGAAAAUGUAAAAUCCCAUGCACGUGUGACAUGCUCCACAUAAAUUCCAAAGCUAUUUCUCCUGUCCAAACAGUCUCCAUCGUUCCGAUCAUCCCAUUGCUCUCCGCCUUUUCAACCCUCCAAACCAAACACUAUUUCCAUAUUAUGCCACCUCCUUUCCUCUGGUUCACAGUCGUUCACUUCUCCCCUUCGACGUUUCACGCUUGUUUCAUUACCCAGUUGAAGCCAACUCAUCUAAACUGAAAACCCAGAGCCCGAGAUCAAAUAAUCGAAAGCUCCUUAUCUCCUUUACCAAACGGUUCACCGUGACCAGGCGAAAUUGGCGUGCACACAACCACGCGUUCAGCAUCCUGGCACACGAUCCCAGCAGACAGAUAUAAGCUGCCUCUCGAACCGCAUGCUUCCGGAGCCAGCACCCAUCCCUUACUGCUCGAUUUCCUGACCCCUUGUUUCCCUCUGCAGUUUAGGAUCCAUCGGGACUCCUCUACGGGGCCACGAUAAGCGCCCAGAGUUUCGAAACUCAUCCCGAUCACGACGAAGAGUGCACAUUCGAAAGCAAUCGUAUUGGCGUUCGUCGAUGUGCCUCCUCCUCCCUCCGGACGAUUAUGCGGGUCCGGCCACUAGAUGGAAAAUAAACGUACUCGACAAGUUCCUGCUAACUUUCAACUCUCCUCGCUGUUUCUUUCCGAUUCUGCAUUGUAUUAUUUUUUUCUUGAACAUUCUUCCCUUUGAGUUGCAUCGUAGUUUGAAGGAAAUAGAUUUAGCAGUUUGUCAUUCGGAUCCGUUAUAUUUUGAAUUUUGUAAAUUACGUUAAUUCGUAGUUGAUAUUGUCGGUUUAUAGAUGAUCGUUACACUGUGGAUUAUUAUAAUUUUAUAGUGGCGGAUAGAAAAUAAUUAAAAAUCGACACGCGUUUUAUCAUUUUCAUAACAAUUGUGUAUUCUGUUCGAUAUAUUACAUUUAUUCGUUGCUUUUGCUUAAAAUAAAUCCACUUUGUAAAAUUAUCGUGUCUUCUCGUACUUCUCAUUUUACGAACUUUCUUUUGUCUGCCACUGUUCGUGAAAUGUGUAAGAUGCAGAAACGUUCUUGAGUUUGAACAUCGUUAUAGUAGACACGUAUUCGAAGAAACUAGUGUUUCGAUGAACGAAACACGACAAAAAGUUUGAAGACUGCAGCGCAUAUAUUCACAAAAAUCUAUUUCAGAUUUAAUUACAUUGACGUAUUGAGCUCGUUAGAACGUCAAUUUAUCGGAAUACAUAAUCGAUGUAACCUUAGAAGUUAGAGUUACCAAGGUUCAACAGUAUUGUCUAUAAGAAAUUGAAAAUGUGAUUGAUCGGUUAAUUCGUCUUCGUCUAUUAAAAUUUGAUAAAUUCGCUUUGGCCAACAAUCGAUAAUAAUUUCCUAUUCGUUCGCGAUUUACGUUCCCUUUUUGUAUACGCAUGAUAAUCGAGGUCAAAGCGUGUGUCAGGUCCACGUUUUGAGGUAUCCAGGAACAGUGCAGCGUAUCCAGCUGGGAUUUCCAGGACGUCGACGAGCUGAAAUGCAGAUCCGUCCGUUGUUGCAAAAUAAUUCGCUUUUCCGUGUCGGUGAAAUUGAAGCUUGUUUGGAGCCAACCGAGUUUACGUUGUUAAGGUGUCAUAUCUUUGAUGAAUAGUUUGUCACGUUUAUCACUAGUGAAUAAAAUCUGAUAUUUGAUAAAAGAGAUAUGGGAAUACUAUUUUUAAAUAGUCGAGAGAUUUUAUAUUGUACAAAUAUUUUCGAAUGUGUGUUAGACUGGAUUAUAAUUGUAUUGUUUGCGGUGGUUUGAAGUAUUUAUAAGGUGCACAGUUAUUCUCUCUUUCUUUAUUUUAAAAUGUAGGUUAAAACAAUUUUUAUAUCUGUUAAUUCUGUGGAAUCAACGUUCCUGUGACAAUUUAUUUUUCAUUUACUUACGAAUGAAUAGAGCUUAAAAUCGGACAAUCAUAACUUCGAUGAAUUGUCACGUUUGUCACGAAUAGAUAGAAUCUAGUUGGUGAUGAAAUUAUUUUAAAAACCAGUCUAUGUUAUACGACAAAGUAUCUCUUUUAUCUUCGAAAGUGGGUUAAUCUUGUGUGACAUGUUCUAAUUUUUUAAAUUACGACCUAGUUCUCUUUUGGAAAGAAACUUCACAGCUUGUUUCCAUAGAAAUUAAAAAAAAAAAAAGAGAGAAAAAGAGCGAGAAAACAGAAAGAUUAAAAAUUACAAAAUAAGAGAAGUCAAUAAGAUCUUCCAAUUUAAAUUCCACGCAAGAUGUCCUUCUUUCAUAUCGGUGAAUUACGAUCACCAAGAACAAAAAAGCUUUUUCAGAUUAUAAAUCGCCAGAAAGAGUCUAUUGGGCAAACACCAUAUCAUCGAGCAUAGCGAGUGGCACAUGAUCGUAUGUUGGUCGUUGUACACGCGUACAUACUAACGAGAUAUUUCAUAACGGCAGAUUAGCGGGUUCCAUAGUCCCCGUGGCGGCAAUUAAUCCCGAGGCUACGAGCGGGUGCAGCCGCGAGCACGAACAAUUUACUGUGCCCCCGAAAUUAAUUUCACUCGUUCGACAUCGACGCUUCGUAGAAAUCGCUUUGUGGCCUUUUUCCCUUCUCCGAAUUGGAGAUUGAAAACCACAUUUUUUGCUUUUGCCAUUUGAAUUCGGAUCCACCUUCCGUUCAAUGGUACACGAUAUCGGCGACGCGUGCUUCUUUUAGUAGACAGGAAAUAAACGUGAACGUAUAAAUUUCGUUCGUCUGAAAUUCUGGUCAAACAGUUUUUCGUACGCGUGAAUGAAACUCGAAAUGAAGUUUCAAUUUCACUAAAGCGAUUUCCAUUCUCUUUGGUUUUGGCUCCUGUUCGACACUGAUGGUUUUUGUCGAACGUCGGUUCUAAAAUUUGUGUCAGUUCUAAUAUAAUAGCAAAGUAUUACGUCGUUCUGGUAAUUUAUUUCGUGGCUCAUAUGUAUUUGUUACGUAUAUUAUUUAACAUCAUAUUAUAUAUCAUCAUAAAAUUUAGAAUGAAAAUAUAAUGUUAAAUAGCUGUCUAACAAAUACAUAGGAACCAUGUAAAAGCCAAAUAAUAUCAACUUUAUCAAUUGUAAUUAUUCGGUUUAUGAAAGAUUAAAUAAAAGUCAUAUCUAUAUUAGUAUAAUUAAAAUUAAGAACUUUACCAGAAGUGGAUCAGUUUGACUUCUGAGUGGUUCGUAGUGAAACUUCGUAGUAAAAUUGAAAAAUAUUAGUAUGGUAAUAUCGUUAAAAGAUAACAGAGAAAAUACGAUAAAAGUCACAAGGAUAAAAAUGUUUUAACGACAAAAAUUCAUGAAAAUAAAAAAUCAGGCUCAGUCAAAACGAUAUUUCAUUUUCACAUGCUUUUUCGCUCAAUUUUAAAUUAAUCUCACAUCAAACAGGAUUAAUUCGCAACAACAUUUUAUUCAGACUCCUGCUGGAAUUCUAUCGUCUAUUCUUAUACACCUCAGCUAGAAUCGACUCGUUAUUUUAAUCCGUAAAUGACGUCAAAACCGUCGACCAUUGUUCGAUACUCAUUCGGAGCGAACGGCAAUUUUAUUCAAAUUGGUGCAAAUCGUUCCCGUGGAAACAUGACACACGUCAGAUCAUAAAAUGUCGCUGUGUUCGCGACCCCUUCGACUUCAACCCUUUUCCCUCCUGUCACAUUUAAUUAUCCCGGCCAUUUACGUAACCCAAUUCCCCAGUAAAUUAUUGCAGGGCCACCUGUUAAAUCACGUAUACGGGAAUGCUUAAUUGUGCCUUCACCGCGGUGAAUAAAUCAGGCGAUUAAAAGAACGAGAAAACGAGCUGGAGAACAGGGAAUCAUGAGUAACUCAUCCUCUGCGAAGUCCUGGAAUUUAUUUGGAUCGCAAAAUACGUUCUAUAUUUUGUUAUUAGAUUAUAACAUCAGAGAAAAAGUUUCGUGAAAAUUCUUUAAUUUCUUCAAUCUUUAGAUCUUCUUCGAAAUGAUUUUUAUUGCAAAGUGAGGUAUCGAAUAUAUGUAGACGUAUAGAUUACGUCAUGUCGUUUCCUAUAAGUUGCAAUUACGGUUUUAAUAGUGGUUUUACUUUUUCUUUAUUUAAUAUACUGAUAUAUUAGACUAAAACUUGAUCAAAACUAUUAUUAUACAGAAUAAUAUAAUUUUCUAUUGCCUGUAACUUGGUUAUAUAAACUGAAUGUAAUAUAGGAACAAAUGCAGUAAUAUACAGUAAUGUAAUAGAUUAGAUAAAUAUCAUUGGAUCGAGGCUAUUAUCAUACAAAAUAAUAUAACUUUCUGCCACUUGAUUAAACAGAAUACAUACGAACUGAAUUGUAGAAGGUACGUGAAACAAAUAUGAUCCUUAACGAGAUACCUUCAUUUAUGGAGCUUCUUUUCAAAACGUAUACGCGUCUAACAACAGUAUUCUUUGCUGAGUACGCUGAUCAGAGAGCAGCCUCUGUUCUUUAGGGUAGCAGAGAUUGUUUCGUACGGAAUGUUCUCUUUGUUCAGGAAAAGUGGAGCGUCGUGUUCUAUGGAUCAGCGAAGAUUCGUGAUUUUGCUACGGGCAUGUUGUUCAACUUUGUGGUUUCUCCAGCGUCAUCAUUUCUGAAAUUCGGGACAUCUCGUUCCAUGAGUCUUUCAGUUCUUCAACGUACACCUUCCAUAAAUCAUCCUUGUUGUGGAAUUCGUUGAGAAAAAUAGAACGCUUUGUUCGUUUUUUAGUAUUUUUCAAAUUCUUUAACACUGAAACUACCUAAAUCUGGGAAAUCCUUAGGAAUUUAUUAAAACCUUCGAUAUUAUUGUUUGGUUUAUAACCUUGAGCUAAGAAGCAUUCGUAAAUUCUGAUAAAUAAUAGAAUUUUUCCUUUUUCCUUCUUUCUGCUCUACACCUGUUUCUUAAUUAUUGACUUAUUUAUGUAUUCAUGCAUAUGUAUAUAUUUAUUAUAUUUUUGCAAAUAUUUUGGCAUUCGUGUUGCUACUUUUUACAUUAAAUUUGUUUUUCUUUGAUUCCGCUCUUUAUAAAUGAUUGUUCAAGUCAUGAAGUUACACGAUGAUCUCAUGUAACCCAGUUUAGUUCUCUUUUCAAUUUUGUUUAAAUUACAUCUAAUUCGUGAAAUAAUUUUUUUCAGUCUCUUGACAUGAAAUUUUCAGCUCGUCGAUAAUUUAUUGUUAAUAUACUAUUAUUUAUUAUUGGAGAUUUAUAUCUGCAGUCACGUAGGUUUCAUUUAUACGUGGUAUACAGAUUACACGAAUUUAUAUUUAAACAUGAGCAGAGACAGAUUACCCUAUAUUUCAAACAAGCUAUAAUUGGCAACCGGGAAACCAAAAUUCGUCGAGCCUCCUUCGGCCAGAUUUAAUCCAGGAAUUGCCGUUUCCGUAGCCACAUCAAACGGACUCGUUCCCGCGUAGCAAACCCAUUUAAUUAAUGAAUUAAUUAUCGCGAACCGGUGUAAUAACGACCAUUAGUCCGUGACUCAAAGCUUCUCAAUUAUUUACGUCAUUUUCAUAGAACGAUUGUUAAGACGUCGAGCAUACACUUAAUAUUUCAUUACAAAAAAUCCCCAGCUGAAGUUCAACGUGACUGAGACAUGAUAUUCCUAUUAUGAAUAUGAAAUAUGUAUAUUUUAUGAAUAUCGUUAAAAUUCUUCAUUAUUAAUUUAAGGAAAAGAACUAAGUUUUAAUUUUAAAUCUGAAUCGAUACCACAGAUAAAAAUUCGCCUAAUCCGCCAUCUGCAUACUGGGUCGUUUUCAAACAGUAAUUUUAAGUAAUUUCUUAUUCUUCCCUAAUUUUUGGUUGAAUUUUGCUUCGCUUAAAAAGACCGAGGUAGCAUGUUACAAUAAAAAUUAACGGAUGAUAUUCUAGAAACUUGGGAGAGUAUUCGAGAAUUUUGGGGGAUUUUAAACCCCAGAAGUCUAAGAAAGAAUUGCAUAGACUUAAACGACCAAGUAUGCGGGAAACGCCAUUAAAAAUAAGUUUACGGUUAGAAGGUGAAAUUAAAAAUUAUAGUAUAUGGUUUAUACUAUAUUAUUCUAUUAGUUAAAUUGUCUACUUAUCGUUCUUCUAUUAAUAAAUGCGUGUUUUAGUUGGCAUAUAAUUGGCACGAUCGCUGCUAUUUCAAAUAUUAAUAUACGCAACGAAUGAUAAAAUUGCAAUACAUUGAAAGUAUUAAAAUUUGUACAUUAUUGCAGAAUAUUAUUAUAGAAAUAUUCCAGUUUCUCAUAAUUCGAUUCUCGCUACUCUUUCUCAAAAAUUUAAUCAGAAUUUCAUUAUCUAUUCUAUGACUAAUUUCAAAUAAUAUCCACCGUUGCUGUAUUGUAUCUGCAUGCAAUACUUUAACAUCGAAAUCAGGUUACAAAGCUUCAUUAGCCUGUAGAUGCGAUUAAUCGUUUCCACGCUUCUGCAUUCCUUUAUCUCCGGAAUAAAUAAUUUCUCGCACGGCAGAUGAACCGUGCGAUCGGAAAGUAAUAAAAGGGAACUUCCCAGAUGCUAAUUACUUGGAAAUCGUUAGGCGACGAAGGGACCGACGGCGUUGCAUCGCUUAAAGUCCCUCGGAACUUUAUUAUAUUAGGAUGAAUCGGCGAACCGUGAGAUAGUUAAGUAAAGUAGAGUUUAAUGUGCUGAAAGGUUUAAACGGCGGCGAAGUGUGGACGGUGAGCUAGUGCUUCUUUCGACCCGAAUAACGAUUCCAUAGUCCACGUUCUCUAUUAUUAAAUCGUUGGAUAAAGGAAUCCUGUUCUCUGCAAUCGGCCAAGCACGCCGAUGUUCCAACAAAGAGGAUACAAAAUUCAAUAAUAAAACGAAUUCUGUGAAAUUUUCUUAAUCAUUUGUGAUAAAAGAAGCGAACAUACGCACGCAUUUUCACAUAUUUAUUUCUUAGUAACUAUUGCUUCUUUAGAAUUCUGAGAAUGUUUUAACAAUUUUCAUUUCUAAAGGAUUAACCUUGCACGUUAGAUAGAAUAUUACGGCAAGCACAUAAACGAUACAUCGAGUAAAAUACUUACUGUUCCACUGAUAUUUGCGAUAAUUGCACGUAAGUGGCUAUAGUGAAUGAAAUAAAUAGAUAUAAGCUAAAUUAAAUUGUAACAGAAUCGUACAUUAAAAUAAAAUUUCAAGUCGUGGAUAGCAGGGUCAAAAUAAUCCUCCUUGUUCACUUAUUUCGCUCUUUUGCUGGUAACAAUCGCAGUAACUCCGCGAGUGAAAACAGAAUAAAUUCCAGAAACUUCAUGUAUCGAAUAAUUUCCCAAUUCACAAUCCUAUCUUACGGGCCCCUGUUCCACGAGAUUCCUCAAUUAUUCAUGACAAAAGAUCCCAACAACAGUCAGCCUGCAACCUAAAUAAUGCAUUAACAAAGAGGCCGAAGAAAAGAUGGAGCAACAAUCAAUUUUCAAUGAAAAUCACAGCGCUCCUUAUCCGUCUGAAACAAGUGUAAACCCGGUCCUGGCGACAGGUCGCUUUGUUUAUCGCAAGAGCCGACGCACCAGACCAUUUCAGCUUAUCCACCCCCUCGUUGUCCCAACCCCCCGACCGUUCCGGACGCAGCGUUCGCGAACAAACGAUACUCUUUCUGCCUGGCGGGACACGGCACAUUCCUUUUCUCCCUUCCCGAAAGCUACGAUGGAGACUCGGCGUUUGUACGCGCACACUGUAGCGGACGAUUCACGCAACCGACGUCGGAUUAUACCCCUUUUUCAGUCGAAGAUAGGGAGGGAGAGGGAGGUGGAAACGGGAACAGAGAGCGGGCUGAAUGGUUUAGCGAAGUUUAACGCUUCGCGGUAUCACUAUUUUCUUCGAUUUUUCAUCGUCUUUCUCCAACUCUUUCACGGUAAAUCGGUAAAAUGGUAUUUUUUGAACUUUUCGCUUAGGUCUUGUUUGUUUUUCGUUAUCAUAGCUCAAACUUAAGCGAGUGGCUCGCAAUUUCAAUGGGAGAGUAGUUUUCAAGUUAUUUCGAUAGCCUCGAGGGUUUUCGAAGAUCUUUGAAGAUAUUUGACUUUCUCUUUUGGCAUUGCAGUGCGGAGCUUUGAGUUUGGGACUCAAUGUAUUCAAAACAAUCGUACAUGCAAUUUUUAUAAUGAAUGCUGCAGUACAGUUUCACUAUCGAUGCCUUUAGUGCCGAUUGUAAUCAACCUUAACGAGAACUAUAGAAUUUUCAAAACCUAGAAGCAAAAAUUUCUAUUAUACCAGUAAUAAAAGAUGGGGCCAACGAGUUAUCAAUUUAAAUCGUUUCUUAGGAGUUUUAUUGAGAAUAACAAAUAUUUCUGACGAAUCCAAACGAGAACUAUAUUCUAAAUAAUAUUCCCAAAACCCGGAAACAACUAUUAAAUUUUGUAUAAUUCUAGAAAAUUACACAAUUUUAGAAAAUUAUACGAUUUUUACAGUGAAUAAUUCCAAUUUCACGCGUAAUUAUCAGAGUUUCCAUACAGUGGCCCCAUAAAGCUCCGAAAAUCGAAAUCAUAUUUUCUUCCUUCCCCAUCAACUCGCCAUUUCUUUUACGCGAGAUCGCAUCCCUCUGGAAUCCCUGCCUAAGACCUUCAUUCGUCAAAAGAAAAAGCUUCAGAAAGAGGCCCGUCGAAGGUUGCCGAUGUGAUCGUGAAAAGAACACGCGGACGUGAAUCGACGAGCAGGAUCUUAUCCUUUCGGAUAUUAUUAAUCCAUGCCAGCAGCGGGUUCAACCCUUUCGCAGAAAGGAUUAUCCCGGUAAUGCAGCUUCUUCCGUUAGUCCGUCACGGUUCUUCUCCGCCGUUUCUUUCCAGUUGGAUCUCGCUCGGAGGGAUGAUGAAAACGCCCCGUUGAGUUGCCGCUGCGCGCACCCCCUAACAACGACGACGAGGGAGGGCUGAGAAGGGGAUAUAGGGGUGGCGUUCGCGUGAUACGUAGAAAGCACGCUCGCCUACUACCACGAAUUAGGUCACGAGCCAGCUGCGGGGCACGCGGAGAAAAAUACCAACGGGCUACGAGAAUGACGAGGGAUGGCGGGGGUGGCGUACAUCGAUCGCGAUUGUCCCACGAGCUCGACUUUUGCCAGGUCGCCGGCGAGGGUGGUAGUAAACAAGCGUGGAGACGACCUGCCUUUGUUAAAGAGAAGGACUCGUUACUUCUCGUUCUCCAUUGCCUCUGUUUUUAUUCUUUUCUCGUUUUGUUUCUUUUCGCCUUUAUUAUUUUGAUGUUGUUCCGAUUCGUUUUGUUACAGUCGUUCGUGCUUUCGAAUAGGUGUAAGGAUAUUUUCUUUGAGUUAGGAAAACGAUUGCGGCAGGAGUUUGUAAGGAGGGUUGUUUGUGGUUCGAUUGCUGUGUAGGGUAGUUUUCCAGAAUUGUUAUACGGGGAAUGGAAAAUUAUACGUUUCGGAUUUAUACGUUUUAGAUUUAUACGUUUGAGGUUUUGCUAUUGAGAGUUAGGAAGUUGUGUUAGGCAAGCAAGUUAUUAUUAUUAUUUAUAACAUAUAAUGGAAAGGAAUAUGUACAUAAUUAUUAUUUGAAAUAUUAGUAUUUAAUAGUGUACUGUAACAUAUUCUAUAUUGUACUUCGUGGUAUUGUGUUUUUAAUAUCGCAGGUGGUAUUGCUACUCGUAUUUCUGGCACUCGAUACUAUGUUAAAUUAAUUAAUGCUGUAUUUUCAAUGACCGAAAUGUUGUUACUAUACAUACUAUAGUAUUCUGUAUACCGUUUACUACUGCGCUGGUAUUGUAUUUUUAACGCUGAAAACACUAUUCUAAAUUCCAGUAUUUGCGUUUUACCGCUUUGUUUGAUGAAGUUAUUAGAUUUUUGGUAAAAAGAACAGGCGUGACGAUAGUGCAACGUUUUCCGUGAUACAUUUUCGGUUUUAUCAGUUUUUAACGGAGUCGACGCAGUUUGCCUGCGAGGUGAUAAAUAUAAAAGUAGGAUAAACUCGGGCUUUGUUUCGCCUCGUUUUAUCAUUUUUUAAUCGUGUCGCGAUAUCUUUCACGAGUGCGCCGAUGAAGCCAAAUAGGUAUUUGCUUUUCAUUAUAUUCUUAUGGCAAUUUUGUACAUCGUAAAUAUGCCAAUAAAAGUGGGUGGUCCUUUUUGUGACGCGCAUUUUAUUUACCUGCCGUUCAUAGUCUUUUUAUAUUUACUGAUAAGAGUGGCCAUUCGCCAGCCACUCGCUAAAAUGGAACAUAAACGCCCACCUAUACAAGCAAUCACAGAUGACAUUCAUAUAUUUUUUUAUGCUUUUUAGGAUCGUUUGCUUCCCCCGUGUUAUGAUUCAAGUGACCUUUUCGUUUCGAGUGUCGAAUUUGUACUAAUCCCCCAGGUAUAGUACGCUGUUCGAGUUAAAUUAGUUGAGCACUCCGUUGAAGAUGCACUCUCGAGAUUACAAAGCGUGCUAUAAUUAACGUUAAAUGUUUCAGCUGCCGCUAAAUUUGUUUAAAUGUCAAUCGUUCCUGACAUUACUCCUCCUAAAACCAUAUUUGGUUCUAAAACCAAAAACGAUAUAAACAAAUGGAUGUUCCCUGAUUCAUUGUGAGUUUUCAUUUCAAUUUCACGUUAAAGUCGUCUCCAAGUCAUUCAAAGUCUUUUUACUUGCCGAAAUGAGAACGAGUUUGAAUCCUAAACGUAGGUGAUUAAUAUAAAAUAAAUACAAGUUACAUUUUAAAAUGUUGAACAGAUCUCUGCCCAAAUUCUAUUUCAUUAAUUGUGUUUAUAAGAGUAUGAAUUCGCAUAAAAAUAUUUAUUCUUCCUCUAUUACAAUAUUCUAUUUGACACAUUUUUCAUCGCUUUAUCCCAACACAUUCUAUUUUAAACCAUUCAACCAAUGAUUGAAAUCCAAAGUAAAAUUCGCAUCCAGCUCAAAGCUUCUUCCACCAAAUCGAUUCCCGCCUCGAUUAUUCGAAAAUCAUCCGAAACUUCGAUGUUUUUCGAGCCGGAUUCAGGUCAAGAGAAGCAUUUCCCCGAAGCAUGUUCGCGUGACGAUAAAGCAAACGAAAAAUUCGCUCGGCCAAUCGAGUUCAGAAUGAAAGGCGAUGCAACGGAUUCAGAGAAACUUCUGCAAGAUUGCGUGACUUCCUUGCAACGCGUAUGUGUGUCGAUUCAGAGUGAGGUGGUCUGGUCAUGAUUUCGCGGUGGUAACGUUCAUAAAAGAUCUCGACGAAUCGGCCGGAAUCCGAGCUUUCGAAUCUUCGUCUUUUACUAAGUCAUAAUAUCGACAAUGCGCCGGAACGAGCUGGAAUAUCGAUUCUCUAUCCUGAAUGGAUCAUUUCUCCCGAGGGAAGAUGGUGCAAUUUGCGUCACGAGACCCGGGGCACGUUUAUUUUGCGUGUUCCCGCUAGAGCAGCUUUAUGGUCGCGUAUCACUUAGUUUAGAGACGAGCUGACGGAAGAGAAUCGUCUCGAUAGUCUUGGCAUAGGCGUAAGCGGGUUGAGAAGCCACGUCGGCUCUGAACGGGGGAUGAACUAAUAAAAGUCGACAAGAAGAAUUUCACCUGGAAUGAGAACGUUAUGUUAAACGUUUUCAUUUAUCUCUGGCUGGCUACCGAGUAAGGCAGAAGGUGGAAGAAUUUUUCUUCCUAUUUUUUUGCAGGUUACUUUAUGGAGGAGCAGUUGGUGCUGGUUGUAUCCUUCGCUAUGGCGCUCGAAGUAAUUACUUCGAGUACUCUGUAACGAAUAACAGUGAUAACUAUUUGAAAUUUAUUUGUUUCGAAUAACGAACAAUAGCAUAGGGCAAAGGAAUGAAAUUGGCCAUAUGCCAGUAAUACGUGGGUCUGUUCCAAAUUAGUCAUAAUCUGCUAUCAUUGCUCUAAAAAUUUAGAGUUAUAAACUUUUUUGGCUCACCAAGAGACGAACGAUGAAAUAAUGAAGAAGUUGUACGAAUGUGAUAUUAUUAGAAGGUAAUUUAUCUGUUAUUUUAUUAAGACACAAAAAGUCUACUAAAAUAGCAAACAUUUUACAAAAUUCCGUCAAAAAAAUUGUAAACGCGACCAAAAUUGUUGUAAUUUAAACAUCAUAGAAAUAUCAUAGUGAUCUUUAAGAAGAGCUUAAAUUAUUAUUCUUAAACGGUAAUUAAAAGCAAGCAGAUCUGGGAGAGAGAACAUAAAGCAGUUGAUAAUCAAACAUAUUUUCUCUGCAUAUCUUUCUAAUGCAAUAGUAAAGAUGAACAAAGGUAUUUCACGAUUAUUAAGCUUUACAAUUACUCAAUAUUCAUAGAAACUAUAUCUUUUUAGUUUAUUCUUAAAUCUACCCUUUUAUAUUGUACGUUACUGUGAACACAAUAAAAUCUUCGCAAGAUUAUCUAUUUAUGUGAUCUUUAAAUACUGUCAGCUACGCAUCAAUCUCCUUUGCAAUCAAAUUCAUAACAGUUCCAUUAGCAUUUUCAUAUAGAAUGAUAGACGACUGUCAACGCUGAAGACCUCAAUGAGUAUUGAAAGAAAUCACGCGAUACGCGACAGAAACGAACGCAAGCAGCAUACGAACAAGAACGUGGAGGUAAACCGUGAACUAAGUCCGAACGUUACGUGUGCAACGAAACGUAAGUAGACUACAAUAGAUUGCCAGAUUGGUCUAGAAACUCCGUAAUGCUGAAAACGCAGGCACCGUGAGCGUGUGUGAAAGAAGCUGGCGGAAGACGUGAACGAGGGCGAAAGGAAAGGUGGCUGAAAAGCGAAUGAAAAGUAUAAAAUGCGACAAAGGAGGCAAUGUUGGAGCAGCUCAUCAGCGUUCGCCCAGAGAACGAAAUUUUUUUGUCUUUGUCGAGAUGCUGCUUAUUUAAAGUCAGCGCUCCUUUACAAUUGCAGCGUAAAAAAAGAACUGAAAUUUUGCUCGUUCCCAGGCGUAUCUUUAACGUAUAAGCAUUGUAAUACGUGUUUUUGUUUUAACGACUCUUAGUUCUUGUAGUAGGUGCUUUGCCUUUUCUUUCGUUCCCAUAUUGAAAUAUCGUGCUCGAGAGAUUUCGAGGUCAGAAGUUGAUGUUUCAGUGAAAAAUGUUCUAACCUUGCUAUGGCAGUGGUAAUUAUUAGGCAAUUUUUUAAAUGAAUCACGAGAUGUUAAAUUAUAAUUGUGAACAUUGAAUAUCGUAUCUUAGUUAUAAUGCAUAUAGUUUUAACUUAAAUUCGACUUUAUAGAAACAUUUGAAAUAGCCAUUAUCGAAACAAUUGUUUCGUCGUACGUACUUUUUCUGGUUAAAAUGUGGAUUAAUGGAAGCAUUUAGCGACUUAAUCUUGAAAAUGAGACAUACGAGUUUAAUGUAAAUUAGUACGUACGUAUCUACGAAUCUGCAUCUACAGAUCAGACGAAAGGUAAUUAGAGCAUAUUUCUUGCCCUUGCAUCGUCUCACUAGAAAACUUUCUAACGAUGUACAGUAUCAAACACCUAAUCACUCAUGUCCUCAAAUUUUGUAAUCAUUCAUCCAUUCACCCUUAACGAUCUUACCAAACUAAACAAUCUAUACCUUCUAAUUCAUUCAAUGUUUCCAAUGUGCACCUACUAUGAAACUCGCAUAUCAAUAGCUACAUUCAAAUCUGUCGAUCAUUCAUUCAUUCAUCUAUUCGUGUUUAUCAGACAAGACUCAAAAAUCCAACUUACUCGACACUCCAAUAACUACAACACUUACAUGUCAAUAGCUGAAUGCACGUCUGUAAUCAAAUAUGUUUAUACACCAGAGAAUUCUUAUAUUCUAACAACAUAGCAAAUCAUCUUAUAACAUUUACAUAUAAAUAACAAUAUCCAACGUGCUUUACUCGCCAGCUUACGAAUUGAAAGAGGGGAUAACCAGGCAAAAGGCCAAUAUCGUCGUUCUUAUUACCUUAAAGAAACUCGUAGGCUGCUCUUCGAGAGGAGGAGCGACACGCUGCCGUAGUUUCGCAUUUACGAUUAUUAUAAUGGCGACCGGUGGGCUCCAUUACCAGGAUAGCCAGGCGCGUUCCUGGUUUCCACCAUUAGGCCCCUUCUUCUUCUUCCUCUGCGUUUUCUCGCCCAGUCCGCGUCCGCUUUCUUUUCUUUAGAAACGAUCUCUAUAAUAAACCGGCCACGCUAAAACGCCGCUAUAAGCGGCCCUCCUAAUAUCGCGGUGACUUUGCCAGAUGGUAUUAAUAACGUGCCUUUAGUAUUCAUGGCUUUAGCUCCCCCUUUUCAGCCGCUGGAUAAUCGUUGAACCCCUCCAGAAUGCUCCUUUCCAGGCGGACUUUGUCUUCGGUCCCCCCAUCAAGACGUUUUCUUUCCACAAGACAAUGAUCUGGAUUUGUUCCUCGUGGAUGAUUCGCGGACCCCUGGUUUUGAUUUUAGUGGUUCGCUGUAAGGGUUGUACGAUAAGGAUUUUUGGGGUGGAUGGCGAUUAAGACUUUAUUACAGAGAUAAUUUUUGAAGAAAGCUGCGUGGAUUAGGGUGAACGAUGCACGAGCGUUUUUCGAUUGUUAGACGUAAUUAGGGUCGUUGAACAAUGGAUCUUUGACUAUAUCUGUUUGUAUGAAUUGUGACUUAGAACGUAUUUGAAGAAUUUUUAAUUUGAGUAGAAAGUUUCUAUUUCUUUAGGAACAUUCCACUGAAACGUGGUAGAAGUGGAACGCUUGAUUAAUAUAAUUUUUCAGGUUUGAGUAACUCUAAUACUAAGAACAUGUUUUGUACAAAAGUAAUCGAUGAAAUGAUAUUAAACGAUGAAUUAUCCGUAAAAUUCCUACAAAAUUUAACAGUUUGAAGUGUCUAUGAAGAUUAUAGGGGAUAUUAAGCUUCAAUAGCAGUAUUGAUAUGAAAUUGUUAAAUGUUAUUGGUCACUGUAAUAAAUUGUCCAAUAUAUGUGUAUAUUAAAUAUUCUAAUAUUGUGCCUUAUAACGAGAUGAAAUAUUUUGCUAAUUGUUAUUUUAUAUCGUACGUAUUGAGAUUGCACGUGACAACUGUAACGACGUUAGAUGUGAAACAAUAAUGCCAACCAUACUAUCAAAUUUGCAAAAUAUUAAACGAUGUAAUAUUACUGGCUUAAUUACGUUGCCUCCAAUAAUAUUUAAUCUUGAUCAAUAAUAUUGCAUAAUAUUGUGCAAUUAUACGUAUUGCUCGGCAAUGAAUAUUUUUUCGUCGUUUCAUUUAAAAUGAAAAUUGAUAAUAAUGCAAUAUGCAUUAAAUAAAUUAUGCAUUAAUAAAAUUAACAAACAUGACGUUUUUCUAAUUUCUUUGAAUUUUGUUAUUGAUAAACCUGAAAUGAAAUUUAAAUA